UACGUAGGGGGCGAGCGUUGUCCGGAAUCAUUGGGCGUAAAGCGCGUGUAGGCGGCCCGGUAAGUCCGCUGUGAAAGUCCAGGGCUCAACCCUGGGAUGCCGGUGGAUACUGUCGGGCUCGAGUCCGGAAGAGGCGAGUGGAAUUCCUGGUGUAGCGGUGAAAUGCGCAGAUAUCAGGAGGAACACCGGUGGCGAAGGCGGGUCUCUGGGCCGUAACUGACGCUGAGGAGCGAAAGCAUGGGGAGCGAACAGG
rnacentral:rRNA from 1 species